UCUCACAUUUGAUGUUCUUUAAAGUGGAGACCUCAGAACUGGAGAAAAUCAGUUUCUCACUUUUCUGCAAUGGAAAGUUAUUACCUCAUCUAGGGAAGACAGGUCCAUGACACACGGGAUGGCCUUGACAGUGGAGAACCUACUUCCACAGAUAAUAUGUUCCUCGCUCUUCUGCAAAGGAAAGGUAGAGGAUGAACUUUCUCGGCUAUCAGUUAUUACCUCAUCAUGAGAAGACAGGUCCAUCUCACUUUUGAUGUUCUUUAAAGUGGAGAUCGCACUACCAGGAGAAAAGCUGUUUUUUAUUUUUUUGUUGAUAUGAGUGUCAUUGUUAGAAGUACGAUGGGGAUGAUGUUGAAUGAUCUUUCCCUGAGUUUUUCUUCAACACGUGGGUUGUAGUCAAGCAGUCUGCUGGAAAUUGUGUUUCCUGGGAUGGAUCCCAGGUCAAAUGGAAGCAGAGUGAUCUGCUGGCACUGGAGUGCUUGGGUAUGGUUUCAUUUUCAUUUGUUUGUUUUCUUUUAUUAGUGUGCUGUCAAGUGUGUGUGUGUAUGUUUGUGUAUAUUAAUGCUAAUAGAUUUUCAGUCAAAACAUACAUCAGAGGGCUAAACUGAUAAAGAUUCUUGCCAGCAUGACUGACAACUCCAAUUUGAUCCCUCAGACUGAAACGGUGAGAGGAGAGAACCGAUGUCUAUAAAUUAUCCUUGGUCUUGCCUCCUUUGCCCCAACCCUAUCACAUGGCAUCACAGGCAAAUUUGAUCAAAGCUUAGCUUUGGCAUGUGAUAGGUGGAUCUGAGCGUCCUAUCCUGGAAGUACAUUGGGGAUGACGUUGAAUGAUGUUUACCUCGGUUUUUGCUUCGAUGUCAGACUUAUAUUCUAGCAGUUUGCUGGCAAUUUUUGUGUUGUCCCUGGAAACAGCAUGGUGCAGGACUGUAUUUCCACUUAAAUCACUCAGGUGGGAAUUAGCACCCUGAAUCAGUAAUAUAGUUAUGCAUUCUACAUUGCCCCUCUGUGUGGCCUGUUGGUAUUGUAUAAAGAAAGAGACAUUCAAUUCAAGAAAGUCAAGAUAAAUAUUUCUAAAAUUGCAUUGAAUAGUUACACUUAGAUCAGAGAAAUUGCUCAGCUUAUGCAUAUUUCCCUCUUUUUUAAGACAGGGUCUUCUUAAGUACCCUAGUCUUGCCUAAAUUCAUAAUCUCUCCACCAAAGCUUUCCAAGUGAUAGAAUUUCAGGAGUGUGCCAAUACACCUAGAUAUUAAAGCAUCUCAUCAGCACUAGUUGGUUGCUGUUAUAGUGAGGGAGGUUGCUUGUUCAUUUGUUUUGCUAACUUGACACAGGCUGAAGAUCCCUGGAAAGAGGGAUCCUCACUUGAGGAAUUGCCUCUAUCAGACUGGGCUGUGGGAAAGUCUGUGGAGCAUUUUCUUGAUUGAGGUUGAUGUGGGAGGGCACUGCUUCCUAGAGGUGGUUGCACAGCUUGGCAGGUAGUCCAGAGUAGUAUAAGAAAGCUGCAAGCCUUGGAAAAAGCCAUGGAAAAGCAGCAUUGCCCCCAUGAUCUCUGCUUCAGUUCCUGCCUCUGGUUCCUGAUUUGAGCUCCUGCCCUGGUUUCCCUUCAUGAUGG